rnacentral:rRNA from 1 species
AUACGAAAGGUGCAAGCGUUGUUCGGAUUUACUGGGCGUAAAGAGAGUGUAGGUGGUUUAUUAAGUCGGAUGUUAAAUCCCGGGGCUCAACCUCGGAACUGCAUUCGAUACUGAUAGGCUAGAGUUUGGGAGGGGUAAGCGGAAUUCCGUGUGUAGCAGUGAAAUGCGUAGAUAUACGGAGGAACACCUGAGGCGAAGGCGGCUUACUGGACCAAUACUGACACUGAGACUCGAAAGCGUGGGUAGCAAACAGGAUUAGAUACCCUAGUAGUCC